GAAAAUCUAUUCAUUUGUUUUUUAGGAAUAAUUGAGAAGUCUGGUUAUGCAUUUGAGUUUGGAAAUUUUGUUAGCUGUAUGUUAUGAGAGUGAUACCUCCAUGUGUAAUAAAAGCAUCGAGUGCUUGAACAAUACUCGUAACUCUGUUGAUAACCAGCAAAACCCUCACCAAGCUCUUCACUUGAUGGAUAUCCCAACAUCUGCCCCUUCCACUGGCUCCAACCUAGGUUCAUAUGAUGAAACCCCCCGUGUUAAGUUCUUGUGUAGCUUCUUAGGUAGCAUUAUGCCUCGACCUCAGGAUGGGAAAUUGCGUUAUGUGGGUGGAGAGACGAGAAUUGUGAGUUUGCCAAGGGAUAUUUGUUAUGAGGAAUUGAUGAGUAAAAUGAAGGAGUUGUAUGAAGGGGUG
rnacentral:misc_RNA from 1 species